rnacentral:rRNA from 1 species
UACGUACUGCGCGAACGUUAUUCGGAAUCACUGGGCUUAAAGGGUGCGUAGGCGGUUUUUCAAGUCAGGUGUGAAAUCUUUCGGCUCAACCGGAAAAUGGCGCUUGAAACUGAGAGACUGGAGUAUGCUAGGGGUGUGCGGAACUGCCAGUGGAGCGGUGAAAUGUGUUGAGAUUGGCAGGAACGCCGGUGGCGAAAGCGGCACACUGGGGCAUAACUGACGCUGAGGCACGAAAGCCAGGGUAGCGAAC